rnacentral:rRNA from 1 species
GGUGUGUGAAAAGCUCAUGGUUGUAAAGCACUUUAAGCGAAGAGGAGGCUACUUUAGUUAAUACCUAGAGAUAGUGGACGUUACUCGCAGAAUAAGCACCGGCUAACUCUGUGCCAGCAGCCGCGGUAAUACAGAGGGUGCAAGCGUUAAUCGGAUUUACUGGGCGUAAAGCGCGCGUAGGCGGCUAAUUAAGUCAAAUGUGAAAUCCCCGAGCUUAACUUGGGAAUUGCAUUCGAUACUGGUUAGCUAGAGUGUGGGAGAGGAUGGUAGAAUUCCAGGUGUAGCGGUGAAAUGCGUAGAGAUCUGGAGGAAUACCGAUGGCGAAGGCAGCCAUCUGGCCUAACACUGACGCUGAGGUGCGAAAGCAUGGGGAGCAAACAGGAUUAGAUACCCUGGUAGUCCAUGCCGUAAACGAUGUCUACUAGCCGUUGGGGCCUUUGAGGCUUUAGUGGCGCAGCUAACGCGAUAAGUAGACCGCCUGGGGAGUACGGUCGCAAGACUAAAACUCAAAUGAAUUGACGGGGGCCCGCACAAGCGGUGGAGCAUGUGGUUUAAUUCGAUGCAACGCGAAGAACCUUACCUGGCCUUGACAUAGUAAGAACUUUUCCAGAGAUGGAUUGGUGCCUUCGGGAACUUUCAU